UGGCAAUAUCAUGUUGAAACACCGGUUCUCAAAUGAUCACCAAAGUUAAGCAAUGUCAAGUCUGGUCAGUACUUAUAUGGGUAAUCAGUUGGGAAGACCAGGUGCUGUAAG